AAUCAAGUCAUGGCCAACUCUUCUGGAAGGGUAAGAGCAAGAGCAGUGGGCUGAAGAACUGUUAUCCCUCUGCAGUACAUGGGGGUUUGAGCUCACGUCAAUGUGCCUGACCUAAGGGCAAAUGGAGCUAAGCAGGAGGGAGAAUUAGACACUUGCCACGGCUUGGAGACAGGGUCUACUGCUCUCUGCUGAACCAGAGGAAAGAACACACUGGCUCCUGAACCUUCGCAGGAAGACAAGGCGAGGGCUGCUGGGUGCCCGUCGCUGCUCACAGCACAGAACGUCCCACUCCUCAGACUCUUUGUCCCCGUCCUAAGACUGUCCUUCACUUGGUCCAUCCAAUCCAAAAUAUGGGCAUACGAAACACACCUCAUCCUUCACACACACAACAUGCUCAACCUUCACUAGCCACGUGACUUUCUUUCUCACAUCAUCCUGAAUUUGCUUUUCUGAAAUUUACUUUUCAAUCUUCUGACUUUUCUUCAUACCUAAGAAGACUGGACAAAGUGCUUGAAAAGCAAAUGGAAACAUUUUAUGAAUAACUACGCAAAGGAAAGACAUAUAAAUAUUUUUAAAGUUUCCCUUCUACAGAAAUGAGCUUAAGUCAACACUACAGUUGCCACUAAGUGUAAGGAUUCGUGAAGGGGAAAACGACGGACUCCCUUCCCUCUGUUCUUCUCAAGUAAUGCAAAUUAGAGAAGAGACGGGGGCGGGGAGAGAAGAGGAAUGCUGAAAGGGCAUUAUGCUUUUGCUAUUUAGUAAAAGAAGUAUCAACAUGCCUUCUGAUGACUCCUGAACAUCCCUUACAAAUGAAGGAGCCACAGAGUGGGGCAACUCCAUGCCUUUAUCACUCAGCCAGCCAAGGAAGAGGAAGACAAUCAAGCCACACUUGACAAGGGACAAGACCAUUCACUUUCAGGGCCAAGGGGAUUAGGACAGAGCAGCAUUUUCCCAUAGUGACAAGAGGAAACAAGAGAAUCGAAAGCAUCUUUCAAUUCCAUUCUGAGUCAAAGAGGUUGUUCUUGCAGCCCAACUGGGAACCUACAUGCAAACCAGUUCUAUGAGAAAAUAUGUCCCCAAAUUCCAAACUACUUCCAGCAGCAAGACAGUUAAGAGACACAUUGGAUGAGGCAACAGCGGGGAAGAAAGGGAGCUGAUCUUGAAUUGGCUGUGUACUGACAGAUUGUAUGAAUGAAAGCAAUAAAAAUAAGCCCCAAAAUCUGGGUUUUGAGUGGAAAAA
ensembl:lncRNA CELF2-AS2 CELF2 antisense RNA 2